ACAGUGGCAAGAUCUCGACUCACUGCAACCUCUGCCUGCCGGGUUCAAGCAAUUCUCCUGGCUCAGCCUCCCAAGUAGCUGGGAUUACAGUGUACCACACCAAGGAACUCCCACACUCUGAAUGAACAGCCCAGUGAUCAGGAGCUUUGAAUCAAUUCUUGGCACCUAACAGUUUGUGAAGAGUCUGCUAAACUCCCUCUAUCAGAAAUCCCAGAGGACUGAGAACAGGUCAUCCUUGGAGGCUCUUUGACAAAAGUCUCCAGAAAACUACUGAAC
rnacentral:lncRNA from 1 species